GCUGACGAGUGGCGGACGGGUGAGUAAUGUCUGGGAAACUGCCUGAUGGAGGGGGAUAACUACUGGAAACGGUAGCUAAUACCGCAUAACGUCGCAAGACCAAAGAGGGGGACCUUCGGGCCUCUUGCCAUCGGAUGUGCCCAGAUGGGAUUAGCUAGUAGGUGGGGUAACGGCUCACCUAGGCGACGAUCCCUAGCUGGUCUGAGAGGAUGACCAGCCACACUGGAACUGAGACACGGUCCAGACUCCUACGGGAGGCAGCAGUGGGGAAUAUUGCACAAUGGGCGCAAGCCUGAUGCAGCCAUGCCGCGUGUAUGAAGAAGGCCUUCGGGUUGUAAAGUACUUUCAGCGGGGAGGAAGGCGAUAAGGUUAAUAACCUUGUCGAUUGACGUUACCCGCAGAAGAAGCACCGGCUAACUCCGUGCCAGCAGCCGCGGUAAUACGGAGGGUGCAAGCGUUAAUCGGAAUUACUGGGCGUAAAGCGCACGCAGGCGGUCUGUCAAGUCGGAUG
rnacentral:rRNA from 1 species